rnacentral:lncRNA from 1 species
UUUAUUUGAAGAUAUGGGUUUUUCAAAUAACCGUUGUCUAACAGAUAUUAGAAAGUCGAUCGUAUUCUCUUAACCAGAAUAUGUGUUGUCUUUUAAAUAGUGUAGUUCACGAAUGAAGUGAUGUGUAGUAUUCUUAGUUUUCUGAGGAUCUGUAAUACAGGCUGCUAUAGAUGAUAGAUAAGCCCUUCCCGCGAACUUAUCUCUUCACAGACACACAGCUAAUUUGGUCAGGCAACAGUCACUUUCCAAAUAAUUUGAAUUUUUCAUGCAUGGCGCGCUCAUGCAUCUGCUCAGAAGCACUUUUUGAAGCCGCAAUUUUUUUGAGGGCGUGAGUUGUAACGGGGCUCCUCCAUGUGGAAGGGGCAUGUGAGGGCACGUGCUUCAGCUUCUCCCAUAAGUCCUUUUUAUUCAAUAAUAAUAAUAAUAAUAAUAAUAAUAAUAAUAGGAGCUGCAAAAAAUAUUGGUAGAUGAUGAGCAAUUGAGCACCACUCUUCCACUCAACCGAGGAGACUUGAAACUUUUUAUUUAAAAAAAAUAAAUAAUAAUAAUAACAAUAAAAACAAGGCCCUCUCCUCAUGCCACCUCAGCGAAUGGCCUACGUGUAAUGCUCGCCACGUGAGGAGGUGCAACUUGUAGCUCCAAAAGCUGGUUAAGUGCUUUACAACUCUCUCUCUCUCUCUCUCUCAAGUCUCAACGCAAGAGGAGGCUUUAAGCAAACAAAUGCACAUGUAUUUCACCUUCAAAGAGCUUUGCUUCCACCUUUGGGUUUGCUUUAUGCCAUUUCUUUAUUCUAAUAAAGCAAUGCUUGCUUUAAUACUUCCUGCGUAUUUUUAAAGUGUUGUUGAUGUGUUAGUAUAUAGUAUAUGUCUUGAGAUGCAUAUAUGAGAUAAUAUUAGUGCCCGUCACACAUUAUUGCUAGUGUCUAGUGCCAAGACUUUACUCGAAAUCUAUCACAAGCAAAACUUAUUACAUGCAUAUUUUUUUAAAAAAAUAUAAUAAAAAAAAUAUUGUAUUUGUUUACAUAUAUAUAUAUAUAUAUAUAUAUAUAUAUAUAUAUAUAUAUAUAUAUACAUAUAGAGAGAGAGAGAGAGUCCGGCUGGAAUACUAUCGAUAGCACGAAGCUUGGUCAUAUCAAGUUUUCUGCCCUAAGGGGUCCACAUCAUUCUAAUCAUAUAUUUUUUAAUUCAAUGAUAGAAAACUUACUAGCACCAAGUCAUUGGUACUAUUAAUAGUAUUCUAGUCUAGUUCUAUAUAUAUAUAUAUACUGCAGUAAUUAGAUUAUGAUAUAAUUUUACAAUUUUACUAUAUUUUUACAUACUUUUGCACUAAUUCUUUCUGACCCAACAACAUAAUAAUAUUAGAUAGCUUUCAAUACCAAUCAAGAGCUAAAAAUUGAAAUAUAUAGUUAUUUCGUCGGUCCGAAGGUUUUUGAAUCAUUCGCUAUUUCCUAAUUAUUGUAUAACGAGUGUUAUUUUAGAUGCUUUUUGUGGGAUCGGGAACGACACUCUUUAGUACAAAAAUUAUAUUGUCGAAUUGAGGAGAGAGUAAUACGACUUGUAUAUCUAAAAGUAAAUAUAAAUCUUAUAUCAUUUCAAUCGAAGAAUCCAUCGAACAAGUCUCAUCAUAUUAUUAUUUUUUAAUACUAAAAAUUAAAAAAAAUUGUCUAAACUAUUAAAUAAUUUAAUAAAUACAAAAUUUGUAUAUAGUUAACUUUUGAAUACAUAAAUAGCAUUUCUUUUGAAAUAAUGAGUAGCUAGUAUUAGCUAUGAUGCAAACAUAUGACUUAUACUAAAGCUUUAUUUUUUUUAUUAUUUUUUUAUAUAUAUUUUUCCAAAAAAUGAUUGGUAGAAUUGGCUGAAUGGGAGAUGGCAAAACAUCUCAUCCCCUCUCCAGCUGAGGCCUCCUUAUUGGUUCAUAAUUAUUUUUUUCUUUUAUUUCUUUUUUUUUUUAAAAGAUAGUAUUAUUUGUUUUAUAAAUAAAUUUAGUUAAAAAAAUAAAUUAACUAGAUUUCAAAUUUAAAACAUAAAAUAUCAACUAUUAAGCCUUUUUUUUUUCCUUUUAUUUAGGCUUCGUUCAUUUUUUUUUUUUUUUGUUCUUCUGAUAGUAUUGCUUUAGGGAGACAUACUAAUGAAAUGUACGAUCUAAGUAAAGUCCAUUUGUAAAUUAUUUAAGGGGUUUUUUAUUUUCACAAAGUGCAUCAAAAUGACUAGUCUUUAUUCACAAGAUUUCAAUCUCAACUAAUCUAAUUGACUUAAUUUAUUUAUUAACAUGUGUGAAACAUAAUUGAAAAAAAAAGAAAAUUGUUUUUAAGUAUUUCUUCGAUCCAACCGUACGAUUCUAUAGCUCUAAUUUGAAUGAUCAACUUGCGAACCAACAUAAAUUUGACCUCAAAAUCGACACGAAAUCAAACAUUAACUUAAUUCGAGGAUGAGUCAAUUAGGGCUGUUAAACCGUGCGGCUAUUCUACUAAACAAUUCUGAUCACGAAGCUGUUGAAAAUUUGGUACCGACUGUCCCUAGCGCAAGUGACAAAAGCGCUUGAUGGUUAGUACUCGAGACCCAAGUUCAAAUCCUAGUUGAUUCACAUUUCCAGUUAAGUUUAUUUCUAAAUGAAAUAAACGAAGCGGAUAGCAUGCUACCUUUCUCUCAAAAAAAUAAAGAAAAUUUGCUCUUAUCUGCGUCUACAGUUUCCGUAGCAAUAUCUCCCCACAAUGCGGAGUCCACAAUUUUUUUUUUUUCUUAUAAUGCAGAGUUAUCUGACUACUUCGUAUAUACAGUUCAAGAGCACUACAUAUAUUUGUCGAUGUAUCAACAAUCUAUAAAAAUAUUAUUUUUGAGGAGCUAAAACAUUUCCAAAUUCUAUACUGUCGAUCCCUCGCAAAGAGCCUGUCACAGGUAUUCUAGAUAGAAUUUGAAGACACCGUUCGAUGAAGUGCCCAAGAAGUUCGAGCGAAAGCCCAAUUUGGUGAUUAGCUCAUGGCACGAUCGUGACCUCGUAGACCGCAACUCAGAUAAUAACUACUCGGCUUAAUGACCCGAUUUGUUUAUACUUUAUACUAACUCAAAGUUGAAAUAAUAUUAACAAAAAAAUUUUUAUACUUUAUUAUUGUACUGGAGAAAAUACUCAACACACUAUCUCAUUUUUUGGGCUCAGGCCCAUCAAAGUAUAGGCCCAUUACGAGCUUGGGCCAAAUCGGAGUCGAGGUAGUAAGAGGAUCCGGAACUCGAUAUAUUUGAGUUGGUUUUAUGAAUAUACACCGUAAAUUGUUUGUUCUUAUAUUUAGUUACAUUUAGGUAUUUUUUAUCUCUAUAAAAUAUCCAUUUGCGUUGACCUCGAAUAAGUUUUUCCUAUUUAUACAAAAUAUGCAUCUCUCGGAGCAGUAACUCUAUCAGCAUGAAAGAUUUUAGCCGGAGUUCCCAAAAUUGUAUAGGAUGAUAAAAACACCAAUUCCAAUUUUAUUCAUAUACUUACCACUCAAAAGAGGGAGCUUUAUUCAUGUACAUAAUCAAAUAAAUGCCAAAGAACUAGCUAGGGCAAGAAAUCGUGCCCAGCUAUAAAGAAACUUCAAAAUAUUCUACUACCCUACAAGAUUUGGGUUCAAAGUGCGCUGCAUAUAUAUAGUACGCAGUCGACAAUUCUGUGUGGCAUAUAUAUCAUCUGUUGGCCGCGGCAGAACAGUUCAGUGCGUAGAAAUUUUUCAUUUAAUUGGUGGUGGGGACGAGGCGGGCCCUGAGAGGGUGCUUCAUGACGACGGUGAAUUGGGACUUCUCCGUCAAGUCGACGUCGUCCCCGUCGACCUUGGUCCACUGGAACUCCCUGACCAUGUUGGCGACGAAGUACUCCAAAUGCAGCAUGGCGACGUUGAUCCCCGCGCAGAUCCUCCGCCCCGCCCCGAAAGGCAUCAUCUUUAUCUCCCUACUCCCCGUCACGUCCACGUCCGCGCCCUCGCCGCCCUCCAAGAACCUCUCGGGCCGGAACUCCAUGGGCGCCUCCCACGCCGCACCGUCGAGGCCCAUCUCCCCCACCAUGAAGUUGAGCGAGGCGUGCUUGGGAAUGGCGUAACCCCCGAGCUCCGCGUCCUCCUCCGCCGCCGCGUGCGGGAGCACGAAGUGCGCCGGGGAGUGGCGCCGGAGCCCCUCGAGCACCACCGCCUUGAGGUACGGCAUGCGCUGGAGCUCCUCCUCCCUCACCUCGCGCUCGUGGGCCGCUCCGUCGUCCCCGCCGCGCGCGCCCACCACCUGUUCGAUCUCGGCCCUGAGCCGGUCCUGCACGCGCGGGUUCCUCACCAGCUCGGCCAUGAUCCACUCGAGCGCCGUGGAGGUCGUGUCCGUGCCCGCGUUGAGGAACUCGGAGCAGAGCACCACCAUCUCGUCGUCGGUGAGCGCGCGGCCCCCUUCGUCCGGGAGCGUCAGCCCCAGCAGCGUGUCCACGUACGCGUGCGCGAAGCUCCCUUCGCUCUCGGGCGCGCCGCGGCCCCCUCGCCGCGCCUCGAUCAGCGGCACGUAGAUCCGCUUCUGGCGCCCCCGCAUCUCCAUCGCGGUCUCCCACCGCUUCCGGAACAGGCGCUUGGUGAUCCACGGCGCGAACGCGAAGAUGUUGAGGUCGUACAAAAGGAGCGACCUUUGCGCGUCCCCGAUCUCCUCCACGGCCUCCUCGUCGAGCUUCGCCCCGAAGCACAUGAGCACGAGCAGGGCGAACAUGGCGAACUGGAGGCGUCCCAUCACGGCGACGCUUCCGCCGCCCUCGGCGUCGGCGCGGAGCUUGGAGAGGAGGAGCCGGAGGACCCAGGAGCGCGCCGGCGCGAAGAGGACGAGGCGCGAGGGGUGGAGGGUCUCGGCGACGAGGUUGCGGCGGAGGAGGCGCCAGAGCGGGCCGUAGGGGGCGGAGGUGAUAUUGUGGCCGUCGGCGGAGAAGAUGCGCGCGGUGGGUAGGGGCGCGGGGCGGUCCGCGAACGCGGCGCCGCGCGCGACGAGGGCGCGGUGGGCGAGGUCGCGGUCGGAGACGAAGAUGAGGAGGCGCGACCCCACGCGCAGCGACACCACGGGCCCGUACCGCGCGUGGAGCUCGCGCAGGAGCGGCUCCACGUCCCUCAACGAGCGCCGCAGCCACAGCAGGUUCCCCAGCACCGGCACCGCCACCGGUCCCGGCGGAAGCGGAAGCUUCCGCUUCUGCUUCGCCGCAUCGCCGCAGCUGUAGCUGCUUCUGCGGCGGAGGAAGAAGAAGCCGACGAGUAGGGCGAGGAACAGGGUGAGGGCGACGAGGAGCCCAGGAUCCAUCGCUUGCUCAACUAAUUCCCCUGUGCUAUUGUGGUAUGUUGCUUACUUAAUUUGUAUGGCUUAAUGUUUGUUACAAGCAAGGGGUUUAUAUAGUCGACCAUAUAAUAAUAAAUUAAUAACGGGGGAUACGGUUUUUAUCUUGUUACGUUUUUUUGUUUUUAUUAUAUUUGUUCUUUAGUUCGCCAUGUAUCCAAAAAUCUACUCAAAAUUAAUAAUUAAAAUUAUUAUUAAGUUCAAUAAAAUUUAGUAAAAUUAAUUCCUAAUGAGUUUCUCUAUUCAAUUCGGGACUUUCUCCUAUCUAGACUAAGACGACGCGUUUUAUUGGAAGGAAUGCACAGCGAAGGUUCGUUGGUGUACUACAAACAAUGCCAAAAUGAAAAAAGCUUAGUAUUGAAGCUUCUUUCUAAAGCUGAUCGAUUUGCCGUGCUGAAUAGUAGAAACUGAGGGCUUAACGAAACAAUAUUGUUUUUUUUAAAAAAAAAAAAAUAGAUAGCAUGCUGCCUAUUUUAUUCAUUAACGAAACAAUAUUGUUGACCUGAGAUUCGUCUGAACUAUGUAUCCAUGAAUCAUGGACACUUCCAAGCUAAUUCUAUGCUUGACUUUUAUCAAUUCUUUUCUAUUACUGUUAUUAUAUAUAUAAAAAUAUAGAAAUAAAAUUUUCUUAAAAAUAUUGUACCAGUGUAAAGUUAUUGUAUUAUUCUUAUAUAAUUUGGCAGAUUUAAUGUUAAAUAAAUUUUAUUAGCGUAACUAUUACAAAAUAAAAACUCUUCUUUAUGGGUAUUAGAAUUAGUACGAAUUAUUUGUAAACAUCAUGCCUGUAGAGAUCCAAAAAAUUCAUUAUAUUAAACGCAACUCGAUGUCGUGAGUUUUUUAAAUACGCGCAGAGUUUGAAUCUCUGACCUCUCGAUGAGUUUCUAAAUAUCCGAGCGUGUUGAUUAUUUGGUAGAACUAAUGCCAAUUAGCUAAAGAAAAGUAAAUGUUCAACUUGGAACACUAUUGCAGAGAAUUCUCCAGUCAACUCGCCUCUUCCUUUAAACUGCGCGUGUUCUAGAAGCCCUAUAUACUAAUAUUAAUAUAAUUUAUAAUAAUAAUAAUAACAAGAGAAGAGAAGCUUUGGUGAAAGGUCAAACUUUGCUGCUUGUGACGCAGAUAGGGAGAGUUGAACGGAAGAAGAAUCCUAAUGUAAUGGAGAAGCCACAUGAUUAUCUCUAUCUAUAAAAUGGUAUUUUUAUCUAUAUCCGAAAUUCUAUGUAACUGAAGUUGAAAAGGUCUUUCAAAAAGUCCUUGUUUUGUGAUCUUAUAGAGAUAUAAAUACCAUCUCAAUCUCAAAUCCAAUAACUAUUUCUGAACUAGUAUUUUUCUGUUCAGAUAUCUCACAUGCUAUAUAAUUUUUGGUUUUUCAACUGAUGUAAGUAACUGUUUAUAAUUAUUUUCUCAAACAAAAUGCCAAAUAAAAACAUGCAUGAUUCAGAAACCAAGAUAAUUAGGAUCUUCUUUUUUUUUUAUCGGGGAGAGUUUUUUACUCCACCCGAACACCAGGUAAAUGCGUGAUGUUACACUGCCUCCGAAGCAAACUAUUACCUCUAAAGCAUUAUUACACCAUUAAUUCUAUUAAUAAGAAAGUGAUUUGGUCGACGAAAUGUAUUCAUAAAAGUACAAGCUAUACAAACCAUUUUGAGGAAUUCAUCCGCAUACAUAAUAAUACAUGGGCAACACAGCGUAAAAAUGACUACAAAUACCUUCCAUUUUAAGAACACACGGCUCUCAUACCCACUACAGAUUAGUCCCCAAUCCUCAAAGCAGCAGCAUGGCCAUAUAGCUCGGAGUAAACCAACACCCACAACACAAACAAACACAAACUUCCUUAAGGAUUUUACAGAGCAAGACCACUUCAUGACCUAUUCCGAUCUAAUUUAUUUACAUUAGUGACCCUAAGAUUACAAAGCAAAGCGUCGCGCCCACUCAGGACGAUCUGGAAGAAGUCCCCAACUCGCUUCGAGAGUGAAUCUAACCCAUGUCUUAACUUAUCGACACUAUCAACCGUAUCAGAAAUGCACUCCAUCGGAUUAUCUUUCUCCUCCUGCUGUUCGGUAUUUUUCUCCGCUUUGACCACUUCUCUCUCAUGGAUAAAGCCAUUUAUUUGUUCUUCAGCCAAUUCCUCACAGCCAAAAGCACUGGUCCAUUCAUGCAACCUCUUUGCACAUGAUUCGGCUUCUUCCAUCUCUUUCACCGCAGUAUGUUUUCCGCUGGGAAAUCUCCUCCUAACUUCCUCAUUAACUGCUGUUUGCAACUCGUUGAAGGCCUCGGACCACAAGAACUCGUCUGGAACUUGCAAUUCCAUCAAAGGUUGUGGGCUACCUAAGAAAGCCGCCGCAAAGAAACUGCAUAUUAAUAUAGUCACAGCCUUAACUCCAUACAAAGCUCUCAGAAGUACUCUCCCUUUGGCCGAGUUCUUAACCUUUGUCAGGUGCAAACUACCCGCAAGAGACUGUAAAAUGGUUGAACAGUUCUCAAGCUUGGGACUCCUCAAGUUAGCUUUCUUCAAAUAAUCGUGGAGCGAGGCAUGGGCUUCUUGGAGCUGUUCAGCUGUUGGAGAAGUGCUUUUUCGGUCCAAAACGUGAAGCACGUAUUGGAGCAGAAGCUGGCCCUGAUCCAACCGGGCCAGCUCGGAGCUUAGAGCAAGGCAAAUGUCGAGCAACUUCAAGCUGCUAUCUAAGUAUGUAUCGAUCCACUUCUCGUCCCAAUCAGAAACGGGGAGCUGGAGUUCGGUUAUUAAGGCUUCAAUACUAGUGUGGGCUUCUGAUAAGCACUCAAUAGCAUGACUCAUCCAGCAUAAAGUGAAGACAUCUGAGGUAUCCUUUGGCUUUAAUUUUUUCAAGCUCAAAGAAAGUGCUUCUUCGAAGUUGUUCAACAGCGGCUGAAGCUUUCGAGAGAGAUGAGAUCCUUUAUUAGGGAGUAUUGAACGAAAGGGAUUCCCAAAGGGAAGAAAGUUCCGCUGCCCGUCAUGUGGACGACUCAUUUUCAGCUGCUGAAGAAAAAGAGAAGUUAUUCAUUAGCACAAAAGACUAACUGUAGUAUGUUAAGGUACCAUGCAAAGAAUCAGCACUCUGUAAACUAUAAAGCUCAGAUCAUUGACUUUGCUAAAGAGAGACGAAACAAGUAAUAUAGCAAAACUCACUUAAAUAAUAGAUAAGAUAAAAUAAAUAAAUAAUGGGUGUAUAAAAAAAAAAAGUUAGAAUUUGAAACUUAAGGAUUGCAGAAAAGCUUUUGGACUGCUUUCAGAAAUUUUUGGCAUUGCAUACAUAGAAAUAAUCGAGAUGAAUAGCUUUUGGCUGCACAAAAGCUCUCUCACAAAAUGCCACAAAUCAAUUUGGCACAAAAAAUCUCUGAACUGAGCUAAGACAAUCGAAAAGGUACUUUUAAGAGAGAUCGCAUUGUUUCUGCAAUCCCUUGUGGUUCAAUCAAGGAAAGCACAAAUUAGUAGUGAAUAUGUGCUCCCAGCUCUUGGAAAUGAAGACAUUUCAAGGUAAAGAUAUCCAAACUCCCUAACUUUACUAUUAAAAUCGCACGAACCAAAUCUACACCGCUACACCAACUUAUAAGAUCGAUUUAACGUGCUGUGUACUUCCUUCAUUUCUUCAUUAUAUGAGGUAAAUUACAAGACAAUCACGAGAUUUCUAGAACAAUAAUCCAUAUCGAUCCAAUUUAUCUACACCACUCUCAAGUUUCUGUCUUACUUCUCUAUUGCCUCUUCUAUACAUUAUGAAGAUAAACAAAAGCGUAAAGUAAAUCCACAUUCUGCAAAAUUGUUUAGUAUUGGACCUUUAUAUAUUAGGUAUUUGUGGCAUUUGGUUGCACCAAAUUUCCAUCCCUCGGCUGCCUAACAUCAACACAGUACAUUAACUCAAGCAAUAUAACUUAGCUGUCAUUUAGGUAUCCUUCUCAUCAUCUAUCAUCUACAUAGAAUAACCCUCCAAAACAAAUCCAAAGAUCUAUGAACCACAAUUAACAAAUAUACCUAUAUGCCGCUCAUGCAAUUUCACAAUCAUUAAUUACGCGUGUUAAAUUGGAUCUUCUCCUACCCAAUCACUUAAGAUUGUAGCACUUCAUGGAACUCUAGAUCCUUAGGUAUUCCCCCCCUCACAAUAGAAAAUUAAUAUGAAAGAUUAGGUGGAUCUGGACUUCUUCACAUAGCAACUUGGAUCUCCAAAAAGAGGACUAAAACAACAACCUCAAAGCAAUAGAUCUAACAAAUAAGAGUACUAUAGCAUCAAAAUAUACCAGUAUAAGGAAAAAAUAGCCGAUUCUGAAAAGAAUAACAAGCAGAUGCAAAAUAAAAAAACAAUUACCCAGAAAAAACUUAAUACGCAAAUAGGACUUGAAGAAACAAAAAACCCAGAUCUAAGCCAACAACCAACAACCAACAAAAGCUCCACCAAAGAACCCCAAAAAAACCUCUUUUUAACAACAAAUCCGUAAUUAGAUAGUCAUAAACCCCAAAAUAGAUGAAAAAUUGGACGAAACAUUACUAGGAUUAUGAAUUAAAGAAGGCAAUAGAUCUAGCACAUAAAACCAAUCUAGCAUAAAAAAAAUAUACAAGUAUAAACCAAGAACAGCCGAUUCUGAAGAGGACAGCAAAAAGAUGCAACUUAAUAAACAAUUACCCUGCAAAAAUCUAUUGCUAGAAGAGCGAUCCAAAAAACCCUCAAAUCUAAACCAAAACCAACAAAAGCUCCAUCAUAUAUCCCCCAAAACCCCUUUUUUCACCACAAAUCCCAAAUCAGAUAGCCCUAAAACCCAAAAUAUAUGAGAAAUCGCGCGAAUGACGAGGGAUUCUUACCUCGAGAGAAAGGGGGAACGUAAAUUGCAGAGGAAAUCAAAGUCGCAGCACCAAACACCACACUACGAUACAAAUGAGGCAACGUUCGCUACGAUGACCAAUUUACCAAGCCCUAAUCGAAAGGGACUAGAAAUUUCCCGACGCGUUUUGUGGACCGUUGAAAUAAUCAAAUUUUAAUUUAAUCCAACGAUCGAGAUCGUGAGCUGGCGUUGCUGACACAGGAAACACUCGUACGCACCUUCCCUCCGUGCGACACGUGUUCGAAUCACAUGACUCGGAGUACCUUCUAAGCCCGUGAAAACUUCGCGGACGUGAAACUCGUAACGUGCGCUAGUUAAGAGCAAUUUUCGGUUCCGCGUAAUUGGGGGGCCCCACAGGGAGACUUUCAUGUCAACAGCGUGGAUGGAUAGAGUCGUGCCGACUAGCUCUCUCUCUCUCUCUCUCUCUCUCUCUCUCUCUCUCUAUUACAAAAUGAAAAGUACAUAGUAUUCGAUAUUUUCAAUUUUUUUGAUUUUUAAAUUAAAAAUCGUACAGUUAGAAUAAUUACGAUCUUUUGUCAAAGAACCUACUAGAUUGAGUAAUUGAGUGGUCUUCACUGAAUAAUAAUAUUAAUUUAAAAAUUAAAAAUAAUUAUAAAAUUUAAUUUAAAGGUUAAAAAAUUAAAAAUAUCAGGUUCUCUAUACUUCCCGAUGGUAUAAUAAUUUUACUGUAUAUAAAGAGAGAGAAAAAAAAGAUAGGAACAUGCUAGAAUACUAUCGGUAACUAUCGAUUUAUUUUCGAUGCUAGAUCUUUUAAAUUGACGAUCGGUACCAUUAAAUAAGAUCUAAAUUAUUUAAACUAUCUAAAUAUAAAUUUUACACUUUUUCGAUAUUUUUCUCUUGUCCAUCAAGUGAAAAAAAAAUGAAUGGCUAAAAAUAAAUAUCUUUUUAAAAAAUAAUUAUAUAAUUUUUGUAUUUAAGAUCUACCGUCUAGAUCUUAUUUUCAAUAGUUUAAAAAAAUUUUAAUAAAAUUUAACUGAUUUGAAUUUUUUUAUAUCGUUAAACAAACAAACUCACUAUAUCGACCAUUAAAAUUACAAAUUUCGUGACCCUUUGAUCAUUCGGCCAUUGACGUCAAAAUAGUAUCAAAUUUAAUUUCUAAAUAGUUUAAAUCAUCUAGAUCAUAUUUAACGGUACCGAUUGUUAAUUUGGAAACUUUAUCAUCAAAAACAAAUCGGCAGUUUGGCGAGCCAUUUACUACUGAUAGUAGCCCAAUUAAGCUCUCUUUCUCUCUCUCUCUCUCUCUCAAUAUAUAUAUAUUAUAUUUAGAAUUUGAUUAAAAAAUUAAUUUGAAAUUAAAAAAUAAUUGUAAAAAAAUAUAUUAUGAUAGCAUUAAAGAAAAUAAAUAAAAAAAAAUAAAGAAACAGCUAAAACACUAUUACUAGGGCUCUCAAUAUGUUAACCAUGUCGGCCCAAUUGGGCUUAUGCUUCCAACUAAGGCCCACGGCCCGGGAUUGAGAAAUUCAAAUAAUUUUUCAAUUAAAAUCUCCCCAAUAAAUAUAACCAGCUAAAUAAAUAGAAACUUUGAAAACUGUUUGGUUAUAUAUAUAGAGGUAUUUUUUUGCUAUCAAGUUUUUAAUUCUUAAAUGAGAAAUUUGAGGGUUAAGAUGAUAUUAGUCCCUUAAAAUUGAGUGGUCCCCCUAGGAUUGAGUGAUUCCCACUGGGUUAUAAUAUUUAAUCCAAUGGUUAGAAACGAUAAAAGCAAUUGAUCCCAAGGCUAAAAAUUUGAAAGCAAAAAAGGCCUUUUGCUAUUAAUAGUUUUCUAGUCCAACUCUCUCUCUCUCUCUCUCUCUCUCUCUAUAUAUAUAUAUAGUUAUAAUUACACUACAGUUGUAACUAUUUUGAUGCAUUUGAAUCUAAUAGCUGUAGUUGGGAUUGUCUGCAUGAGGAGGUUCAGGUACGUACGGCAGUUAGAACCACACCUAAAUUAAUCAUAAUUUUAACUACAGUAGUUAGAGCAAGUAAUUUUAAAUAAAAGACAAACUUACCUUCUUAUUUACUUUUUUUAAAUUAAAAUUACUUCUAUUAGCCGGACUAAUUUGUUAAAUUAGGCCAUCAACUAGCGGGGGUGGAGGAAUCCGGUGAGGUCGUCAGGGUCGGCGGUGGCUGCAGAAAAUACGCAAAGAUACGGAUAUAUCUUGUGGGACUGACUGCAGGUGCGAUUGUCGGGGCCACAACGUACACCGCUAUCAAGUCGGACGACGAGGACGAAGGGUCACAGCAUCCAGCAUGAAGCUUUCGACGAUAAACCGUGUCCGAAAUUGAAAUCGAAUUGAAAUAAUAUCCCCUUUAUGACUUACGAAACGUUGGAAUUUAAUUCUAUAAAUGAAUGUAAAACGACUGUGAAUAAUGUUUUACUCAAGCAUGAAUACUUAUAAUUAUCAUUGUAUGCAGUGCGGGGUAACAACAAUGUAUCAUGAUCUUUGAUGUGGUGGAGUUCAUGCAAUAAUUCCUCUCAACAACUAAGUCACUGGUCAAAUUUGUAUAAUAUACGAUUGAUCAUAAAUAUAUGCUUACUAUACCAGUACCUCUCAUUGUGAAAUGACAAAACGUAUUAAAUACUUGAUAACUUUUCCAUAUAUAUAUAUAAUAUACGAUUGAUCGUAAAUAUAUGCUUACUAUACUAAUACUUCUCAACGGUUAAAAAUUUAUAAGUAUAAGAGGAUCUACACUCAUAAGAGUAUAAUAACCCCAUCCAUAUAUAUAUAUAUAUACACACAACGAUCACACUCUUAAAUUGACAAGCUUGUAACUGAAUACAAUUGAGAAGUUAAAUAUCAAGUAUAUGCAUAUGAUUUCUUGUCGUUUUGGAAUUUCUUUCUUUUUUUUUGUCCCAAAAUUGUAGUUGGUGUGAUCGAACAUCCGUCAAUUUGUUAAUUAAAUUGGAUGGAUAUAUGCACCUAACUAACUUACUAAAGCAAUAACAUGGUGACAGAAUAUCCCUGGGAUUAGUUCAUUGAUCUUAAUUAACACAAAUUACAGCCACAAGGUGAUGUUAUGUAUAUCUAAAUGCGGUAAAUAUUUUCCAAAAAAAACAUAAUAUUAGACAAAUUUCAAUAUUAGUAUAUGAGUUUUUAAGUAAAUUUUAAUUUGAUUCAAAAAAUUUCAAGUUGAGCGAUCGAACCAAAUUUUCAAAAGUGUCUCGCUCCACUUGGUCGUUGGCAUCGCUUCUAGUUAAUGGAGAAAAAAUUAUCAGCCCUUCAUCCAUCUCGUACUUUUAAUCCAACUAUUUAUUUUCUAAAUAAAAAGAGAGUUACAAUUUUAUAAUUCCGGGUAAAUUCUAAACCUGUGUUAGAAGUAUAUAUAUUCUUAUAUUAUGGCCUAGUUUUAGCAUGCAUGCAUUUUCAAAAUAUUGUUUUUUUAUUUUUGGAUAACAUCUCCCAAAAAAAUUUUCAUAGAAAAGUAUUUGUUCUUUGUGGAAAUUAACUAGCUGUUUGAAAAAUUAGCUAUAUUUAUUUGGAAAGUAUAUAGUGUGUGUGUAUAUAUAUAGAACUAUAUAGAGAGAGAGAGAGAGAGUCCGGCUGGGAUAUUAUUGAUAACACCAAGGGCUUAGUAAUAUCGAGUUUUCUACCGUUAAAUUUAACCCUUUAAUUAUUUUUACUCGUUGGAUUAUACCAUUCAACCAACAACCCACUCAACUCCAAGAUGCCCACAUCAUCCUAACUGCACAUUUCUCAAUGCAAGAGCUAAAAAAUUAAUAGCACCAAUAAUUUAAUAUUAUUGAUAGUAUUCCAGCCAAGUUCUAUAUAUAUAUAUAUGAGUUCGGCUAUUAUAUUUUUUAUGAGUACGAUUGUCUUCGUACUCAUAAGUUAUUUUUGAUGAUAGAGAUUCUGAAUAGACGAUCUAUAUCGUUAAAUAUUCUAGAAAGUAAAUUUUAUAAUUUUUUGACAUUAUUUACCUUACGAUCAACGGCCGGUAUGAAAUACUUGUUAAUUUAAAAGUGUAAAAAAAUCUAANUUCUAGAAAGUAAAUUUUAUAAUUUUUUGACAUUAUUUACCUUACGAUCAACGGCCGGUAUGAAAUACUUGUUAAUUUAAAAGUGUAAAAAAAUCUAAAUUGGUUGAAAUUUUAAUAAAAAAUUCUAUUCACUAUUUAGAUAAAAGUCAAUAACUCCGAUCUUAAAUUAAAGUAUCCGAUCCUCUAUUUUUAAGAAGUGGUUUGAUUUUGACCGUUCAUUUUAUAUCUAUUUGAUAAUAUCGAAUAUAUGUAAUAUUUGAUUUCAGAAUACUCAAGUAGUAUACAUUAUGCUCAAUGAUGCGGAUUGUCAAUUUGAAAGCUCUAUCAUUAAACACAUACUAUAAUACGUAGAAAGCUCUGCUAUACUUAUUAAGUAUAUUAACCUUACUCUCCUCUCUAUUAAUAUAUAUAAUUAAUGAACCGUUUUCGUAAAAAGGCAUCUAUAUAGCUAAUAGUUUACCACUUCAACUUGGUUUUACAUUCUAAUUCAUAUCAUACAACUGAGCGUGUAUCCCGGUUAACUAAGGAUCGAUAAUUGUAUUCCAAAUAUCAAUUCGAAGUUAAAUAUUUAUAUUUUUAAUUGAGUUCAAUUCUAAAAAAAAAAAAAAAAAAAACGGUGUGUAUAUCUAUAUCUAUAUUACUAUAUAUAAAAGCGUAUAGAAAUUCCGAUAAUGACAGACGAAAUCUAAAAAAAAAUAAAAUAAUAUUCUUACCAAAAAGAAUAAAAAAUAUUCCCUACGAAUGGUUAUGAUUAAUUUGUUAAAAAAAUAUCUCAAAUAAGAACAUGCAUGAUCAAUUUAUUAAAAAUACAUUCAUAUCCAUCUAUAAAUUCAAUCAUAUUAAUGAUUAUAAUCAAUUUGUUAAAAAUAUCUCAAAUAAAAACAAAUGUUAUGAUCAAUUUUUUAUAAAAAAUACGAUUCCUAUUUAUCUAUUUUACAUUAAAAUUAAAAUUUGAGUUUAAAUUAUGAAUUAAAUUUAAUUUUUGAUAUCAAAUCUGAAUUAACAAUUAAUUUUUUUAUUACAGUGGAUCAAAAUUAAAAUUUAAAUUUUAAAGUAAAUGUGAAUUAAAUUUUGAUGCUUUUAGUUCAAAACACAUAUUUAAAUUUGAUUAAUAAAAAAUCAAAAAAUAUAUAAAAAUGUUCGAUGUAUAUAAAAAAAAGAAUAUUGUAGGAUAUUGUAAAUAUUUUCUAAUAAAAUAUAACUUAUUAAAUUAUAAAUAUAAUUUUUAUUGUAAGAUUUUAAAUAUAUAUAAUGUACAAAUUUAUAUUGAUUUAAUAAAUUAUAAUAAUUGUUACGUUCACUUACACGUAUAUUCAACUAGUAUAUAUAAAAGUCCAAGUACAACAACCAUUGAUUAAAAAAAAAAAAAUUUUACCCUCACCUGCCAACCAACUCUAAUUGUGGUUUGGCUCUAUUAUUAAAAAGAGCCAAACAAAUAUUAAAAAGCACAUGUUUCUACUUGCUUGUUCUCGUUUCCUACGCAAGGACCGCUCCACGAGGUUACUUAAGAACGCGGCGCAUAAUCAAAUCGUCUAUGGGCGCGUCCCCACCAAAUUUAUGUGCGUCGACCAGUACCAAACCUACCUUAUACCAGAAAUUAUUGAGCGGACCCGGUCCACUUAUUCCACCACGUCACCGGUACACCGAGUAGCUAGUAAAUCAAAGAAAGGGAAAACUUCAAAUACCACUCCUGUAAUGUCCUGUAAUUUUAUUUUUAUCUUUUAUUAUCAAUUUCACUAAUUUUUUUUGUUGAAUCAAUGAUAAAAUUAAAACUAAAGAGUACUUAAGUAAAUAUUUGAUAAAUCUAGAUAGGAUAUCUAAAGUUUUCUAUAUAAUUUAAUAAAGUAUUAACGAAAAAGCUAACGAAAAAAUAAAAAUGAAAUCACAUGACGCUAACUUGAUACACUUUAAACCACAGAGUACUAAAAUGAGAAAGUCUGAAACCACACGAAUGAUAAUUGAAGUUUACCAUUAAAAAAUAUAUAUAUAUAUCCUUAUAUUUCCGCAACUAUGGGGUAUCAUUCUAAAUAGUGUAGAGUUAUUAUGUUUCUAAAAAUUGAAAUUUCUCAGAUAAAAAAUUAUAGAGUUAGUAUGAUAGUAAUCUUUCCAAGAGUUUAGUAAUAGUCUCUUUGAGAGAAUAAUAUUAACCAAGAAUUAGAAAUGGUCAAAAAAAUUGAUUAAAAAAAUUAAAAAAUUAGAAGCACUGCAUAAGUGGUGCUUCCGGAAGCAUUAUAUAUAGUUGGAUUCCUCUAAAUAUAAAAAAUAUUAUAAAAUAUUAUAAAUUUAUUACUGCUCAUCAAUUGUCUUAAAAAUUUUAAUAGUUUUCUGAUAAUUUUUUAUUUCUAAUGUUGAUAUUUUAUUACGCAUGUCAUGUUGUGCAAAUCGUAAAACAGUAAACUUUUCGAAUAUCUUGCUAAAUAUUAUACUCUUUACUGAUAGAAUUAUCUUAAUGAUAAAAAAUAACAAAUAUUAACGACGUUAUGAUAUUCUAAAAUUCUAGAAUAAUAAAUUAAAGUAUUAUAAUUUCAUAGGAACAAAUCAGUAAUGUCUAAACUUUUUGUAUACAUAUCCAAAUUUAAAAUAUAUACAUAAAAUAUUCAUUUCAUAAUUGCUUCAAAUUAAAAUGGUCCACGGCUGACGUGGCGGACCAAAUCCACCCACACUGCAUCCUCCCUUGCACGUGCCAAGGCGUGGAGGCCACGUGCGUUCCGGGAGUACAUCCAACUCUAAUUAAUAAUACAGUUAAAUUACAGAAAAAUUUUCUAUAAAUAUUCGUGUUUUUACUUUUUCUUUCAAACUUUUAAAAAUCUAUCUUUUACUCUUUUAAAAUUUUAAAAAUAUUUUCAAAGGAGUAAAGUGUUAAUAAAGAGAGCAAAAUGACCAAAUAAUUUUUUAUUCUUCUAUAAAAAAAAAUAACUUUCUGAUAUAUUUCUGUCAUUUUAAAAGAUAUUUUCAGUAUAAAUUAUAAAAAUGGAUGCAAUAGUGAUCGAAUCCUGACAAAGGGAAACUAAAUACAAUAACUUGAAAUUUUAAGACAAAAAAAUAUAGAUUUUUAAAAGUCAGAAAGUAAAAGUGAAAAAACGAUUAUUUACAGAAGAUUUUCUAUAAUUUAGUCUAAUAAUAAUAAUAUAAUAAUAAUAACAGUAUUACUAAGGAAAGGAACAGAAAACCAGCUGCAUUCAAUUCAAUGCCUACGCUGGUGACAAGCCCCCCCCCCAAAAAAGAAUAUGUGAUCAUCUUUUUUAGUUAUAUAUAUAUAUAGAAGAGGAGCUAGAAUUAGAAGGAGAGGGAGAUGGAGGAGGGAUUGGAGAGUGAGGUGGGGGAGGUGAGAGGGGCGUUUGAGAGUGGGAGAACGAGGAGCUUAUCAUGGAGAAGAUCACAACUCAGAGCACUUCUAAAGCUUCUGAAAGAUGAAGAAGAUGAUAUUUUUAAGGCCCUUAAAGAAGAUGUGGGGAAGCACCAUGUUGAAGCGUUUAGAGAUGAGGUGAGGAGUUUAAUUACUUCUUAAAUAUAUAUUAAUUUUCUUCUUCUUUUUUUCAUAUUAAUUUGUGUUUAAGCAUAUACAUACAUAUAUGCAUACUUUCAUUUAUGUUUAAUUAACUUAACUUUGGAUCUUUAAUAAAUUCCAUGAUUUUUUAGGUGGGUGUUCUUAUCAAGUCCAUUGACUUUGCUCUAGGAGAAAUUAAACGAUGGAUGGCUCCUCAAAGGGUUACUCUCUCUCUCUCUCUCUCUCCAUCAAAUGAUAAAAAAUUUUAUGAAAAAUUUUUGUACAGUGGAAUUAUAUAAAAAACAUAAUCAAUUUAGUAAUGGGAAUGAUAUAGUAAUUAUUUUAACAAAUUUGUUACUUUCAUUUUUUAGAGAAUGUAUAUAUUAUUUUACGAGAAUUAAAGUACAGGUGUGGGUGCCAUUGGUAGCAUUUCCGACUACUGCGGAGGUGGUGCCGGAGCCGCUUGGGGUCGUGCUUAUAUUUUCGUGCUGGAAUUUCCCCUUGAGUUAGUAGUCACAUUAUUGAUUAUCCUUCAUCUCUUUUUUUAUUAUUCUUUUUAAUUUUUUCCCUUCAUAUAUUUUAUUACAUAAGGACAUUUUUUUAACAAACUAAUUAAUUCUUAUAGUACUUAAUUAGUACAGUAAAUAAAUUCAAUAAUUGCCUAUUAUUUUUUGACGUUGUAAAUUAUAUUUAUCUUUUAGCUUGUAAUUUACACUGUCCUGCCAAUUAAAUGCGCGCUCGUGAUCAUAUUUUCAUAUUUGUAGAAUGCUAUAAAAUUAUGUUUUGCUAUCUGUUCUAUGAAAUGUUUCAUUAAAUUCCGCUAUGAAGGUUAGAGUAUUACUUACUAAAUCUCAAAUACAAUUAUUAAAUCUUAAGUUCAAUCAUUAUAUUCUAAAUUUUAAGUAUUAAUCUGUUCAUGUGUAUAUAUAUAUAUAUAUAUAUAUAUAUAUAUAUAUAUAGAACUAGGUUAGAAUACUAUCAAUAGCGCCAAGCUAUUGGUGCUAUUAAUUUUUUAACCUUUGGAUUGAGAAAUGAAUGAUUAGGAUGAUAUGGGCCCUCUGGGGUUGAGUGAGUGGUUGGUUGAAUAGUAUAAUCUGACGGAUAAAAAUAAUCAAAGAGUUAAAUCUAACGGUGAAAAAUUCGAUAGUAUCAAACCCUUGGUGCUAUCGAUAGUACCCCAGCCGGACUCUAUAGAUAUAUAUAUGAAUAUAUUAAUAAUAUAAUAGGGUAUUCAAAAAUAAAAUUUCUCGUACAGAAAAGGACAUGCAGCUGCUAACUUCUCAAUUAAUUACUUCUCACAUUUUAAUUCCAUGUCCUUGCAUGUGAAUCUAUAGUUCGUAUCGUCGGGUACUGCAGAAAAAUAAGUUGCAGAUAAAUUUGCUGUACUCUUGCACUCUCUCACUAGUGAAUUUCGUUGUGGCUCACCAGUAGUAUAGUUAGUAGGGAUCCAAUCCUCACGGGAUGCAUGAGGGGGCCUACGUUCCCUGGCACACAAACACAUGCGCGCGCGCGCACACACAAGUUCAAGUUACCAACUUGGCCACUUGUGUGAUCAUUUAAUCGGUGUCAUUAAUACGUAACAGAUAAUAAUAAUAAUAAUAAUAAUAAUAAUAAUAAUAAUAAUAAUAAUGCAUGCUAGGGUACGUCAUUUUCUCAUUUUUCCCCUCCUCUUGUGAUUUUUACUAUUAAUUUUCACUCGGUCAAAACGUUCUCUCUCCUCCUCUGAUGUAAACAUGCUCAUUCAUUGGGUACACCAAAAAUUCCUGCUGCUCGUGUCAGGUUUGAAUCAUCAUUUAUGGUGUAGCUUCAAAUGAGAAAUAUUAUUUGUGCAUCGAAAAAUAAUAUAUAAUCUCACACUCAUAUAUACAUUAAAGAAAAUUAAUUUUUUUAGAUUUUAAUAUUUUGAAAAGCUGAUAGUUUAAGUAUUAAAAUAUUGAUUCUUAUGUAAAUAAAAUAUAAAAUUUAUGCACACUUUUCUGNUGAGAAAUAGGUAGUACACUACUCGCUUCGUUUAUUUUAUUUAGAAAUAAACUUAGCUAGAAAUGUGAAUCAAUAAGGAUUUGAAUUUGAGACCUCAGGUACCGGCCAUCAAGCCUUUGCCACUUGCGCUAAGGACAUUCUAAGUACAUAUAUAAAUGAUGAGCCUCAGGAUGUUUGGAACUGCUGACAUUAUAGUCAGAGUCCAAGUACCUAACCAUUAGAUCAUACAAUAAAUUUUUUUAAAUGAAUUUUAAUAUUAAAAAAAUCAAUCGAUCCCCAAAAGCGUUGGAAGUGUAAUUUUUUCUAAUACUAAUUAUUAGAAUUGAUACUUAUACUAAUACCGAUUAUAUAAUUCAGGAUCUGAAAUAGAACAAAAUAAUAUAGAAAAGAGUUAUUAGAGGAGGAAGAAGGUAACUAAAUUAAUAUUUUAUUAAUUACACCCUUAGUCUUAUGCAGUUAUAUCUAUUGUGAUUGAUUCAUCUAAUUAACCCAUGCCUGGAUAUAUAUAUAUGAGUCCAGCUAUGGUGCUUGUAAAAGCACCAAGCACUUGGUGCUUAUAAGUUUUUUACCGUUAAAUUUACUUCUCGGAUCAUUUUCAACCAUUAGAUUAUACUAUUCAACCAAUCACCCACUCAACCCUAGGGGUCCCACACCAUCCUAGCCACAUAUCUCUUAAUCCAAUGGCUAAAAAUCUACAAGCACUAAUAACUUGAUACUUUUAAAAGUAUAGAAGCUCAAUUAUAUAUAUAUAUAUAUACACGAGUGAGGCUACUAUGCUAUCGGAAGCACGGAGCCUUCCGUGCUUCCGGCUCGUUUUCGAUGUUGCGAUUUUUGAAUCGUUGAUCAGCUCCAUUAAACUUGAUCUAGAGUAUUUGGAGUACCUAGAAAAUAAAUUUUAUUAUUUUUCGAUAUCAUUUGUCUAGUGAUCAAAUGAGCUCAAAAUCAACAAAUUUCAAUGACCGUAGUGAGUCGUUUGCAAGUUUAAUAGUGUAGAAAUAUUCAAAUCACGUGAAAUUUUGGUAGAAAAUUCUNAAAUUUUGAUAGAAAAUUCUUUAUACUAUAUAAAACAAAAUCAAUAUCUUUGAUUUAAAAUUUUAAUGUCAUAUUAUUACAUUUUGUAAGAUUUUUAUUUUCAGCCGUUGAUUUUGAGCCCCUUCGUUCACUAGGCAAAUGAUAUCGUAAAAUCAUAAAAUUUAUUUUUUAGGUACUUCAAAUACUCUAGAUCAAGUUUAACGGAGCUGAUCAACGAUUCGAAAGCCGCAACAUCGAAAACGAGUUGGAAGCACGGAAGGCUCCGUGCUUCCGAUAGCAUAGUAGCCUCACUCAUAUAUAUAUAUAUAUAUAUAUAUAUAUAUAUAUAUAUAUGACAAAUCUAACUUUUAUUUUGCAUAAUUAUAAAUCCUAUUCUAAAACUUUCAAAUAUAAUCCA